UCUUCGUUUAUUUGAUGUUGGAUAAUUUACUUCUUUGCAUUCCAAUGAACAAACAUUUCCAAAGAAAAUGCAACCUAAUCUGGUGGACUUUACUCUGAUCUGGUCAAGACAAGACACAAAAAAAAAAAGAAUAAUUCAAUUUCUGACAUUUUUACACCUCCAUUCAAGGUUGAAUGUCAAUUUCCACCACACAAACUGUCAUUUCAAACAAAAUUUUCUAUUUCAAAUGAAUCAGCAGCACGUACUUUAGUAAAAAAAAAAAAUGCACUUCGUGGCUUUCGGACUUUGUUUGGGGUACAACAAAAGGGAACUCUCAUAUAUGUAUGAGUUGAGUAUGUAAAUCUAAAGAAAGAGAGAUAGUCCGCCCAUUCGAAGAAGUGAACAUUGAACACGCCAACACGUAUCGGUGAUUGACCCUAAACAUUACAGACAAAUAUAAAUAUGUACUAUACGCUCGGAAGCGUCUUCAUAAACCGCUUCACUUAUAAAAGUAUAAAGGUAUACUAACUCGUAUAUUGAUUUUGUUUUUUUUUUUACUCAAUGUAAUAAAUAUUAUUAUUAUUUUUUA